rnacentral:lncRNA from 1 species
AUGAAGAAAGCAAUAGAAACAUACUAAACGAUCAAGUGCUAAGCUAACGGAAUGGGUCAGGUCAAUCACAUCAUUCUCCUAAUGAUGUGAUCCUGUUAAUCAAAUGACAACUCAUGUCUAUGGUUAGGAAACUUAACCAUCUUGUAACACCCAUGAUGCGGCUAUAUCUCGCACGUGUCAGAGCACGACUUAGAGGCAUAACCGCAUAGUAGGCAUGUCGCAAGAGGGAUAAUCUUUACACAUCCCAUGUACUGAAUAAGAAAGGGAUAAAGAGUUGGCUUACAAUCGGCACUUCAAACAAUACAUAAAUAUCAUACAACAUCCAAAAUACAAUCAAGGUCCGACUACGGAACCAAAAUAAAGAAAGACAACCCCUAAUGCUAGAUCCCCGAUCACCCCAACUGGGCUCCACUAUCGAUCGAAAGGAAAUGAAACAACACAACGAACACGAUCUUCAUCGAGCUCCCACUUGAGCUCUAUUGCAUCAUCUGGACUGGUGUCACUGGCACCUGCAACUGUUUGGAAGUAUCUGUGAGUCACGAGGACUCAGCAAUCUCACACCCGCGAGAUCAAGACUAUUUAAGCUUAUGGGUAGGAAAGGAUAGUGAGGUGGAGCUGCAGCAAGCACUAGCAUAUAUGGUGGCUACCUUAUGCAAAAAAGAGCAAGAAGAGAAGCAAAGCACGGUCGAGAAGCUAAUAAGUGAUCAAGAAGUGAUCCUGAAGCUACUUACGUUCAAGCAUAACACGAGACCGUGUUCACUUCCCGGACUCCGCCGGAAAGAGACCAUCACGGCUACACACGUGGUUGAUGCAUUUUAAUUAAGUUAAGUGUCAAGUUCUCUACAACUGGAUAUUAACAAAUUCCCAUCUGCCCAUAACCGCGGGCACGACUUUCGAAAGUUCAAACCCUGCAGGGGUGUCCCAACUUAGCCCAUCACAAGCUCUCACGGUCAACGAAGGAUAUUCCUUCUCCCAGGAAGACCCGAUCAGACUCGGAAUCCCGGUUACAAGACAUUUCGACAAUGGUAAAACAAGACCAGCAAAGCCACCCGAAUGUGCUGACAAAUCCCGAUAGGAGCUGCACAUAUCUCGUUCUCAAGGCACACCGGAUUGUCCAAGAUUCCGGUAGGCCAACCCAGAGUUGCCCCUGGUGGCCACCGGCUGCUGACAGGUUGGACCAACACUCAGAGGAGCACUGACCCGGGGGUUUAAAAUAAAGAUGACCCUCGGGCUCCGGAAACCCGAGGGAAAAAGGCUUAGGUGGCAAAUGGUAAACCAAGGUUGGGCUUGCUGGAGGAGUUUUAUUCAAAGCAAACUGUCAAGGGGGUCCCAUUCCCCCAACUGCGUAAGGAACGCAAAAUCAAGGAACAUAACAUCGGUACGACGGAAACUAGGCCAGCAAAAGUGGAACAAAACACCAGGCAUAAGGCCGAGCCUUCCACCCUUUACCAAGUAUAUAGUUGCAUUAAAGUAAACAAGAUACAAUAAUGAUAUCCCAACAAAACCCAUGUUCCAACAAGGAACAAACUUCAAUCUUCACCUGCAACUAGAAACGCUAUAAGAGAGGCUGAGCAAAGCGGUAACAUAGUCAAACAACAUUUGCUAGGAAAGGUGGGUUAGAGGUUUGACAUGGCAAUAUGGGAGGCAUGAUAAAGCAAGUGGUAGGUAUCGCGGCAUAGCAAUAGAGCGAGCAACUAGCAAGCAAAGAUAGAAGUGAUUUCGAGGGUAUGGUCAUCUUGCCUGAGAUCCCGCAAGGAAAAGAACGAGUCCAUGAAGAAGACAAACAGACAUAGUCGAACGGAUCCUCACAAACGCGACAUUAUCAGAACUAACCCGAAGAAGCAACACCGGAAAGAAGCAAACAACAUAGUAAACAACCAUCACAUAACAUGGCAUGAUGCACAAUCAAGUAUGAUGCAUGUCCGGUUUAAUGAGGCAUGGCAUGGCAAAGUGCACAAGCAAAACUACAAGUUAAGUGGAGCUCAAUAUGCAACGAGUUGCAUAUUGACGAAACACCACAUGACUUAUUUAGUUCACUCUCGUUUAUGUACCCCAUAAUAUUAAAUGUUGGUUAGCAUGGCAAGAGGUGGAGAAAAUGAAAACUACCCAUCUAGGCAAGUUUAAAUGAGGCCGUAACAACAAACAACAAGUCCGAAAACUCCUCAUGUGCAUAUUUUAGGUUUUGGUACUGUUCUGCCCUAAACCAUAUUUUAGAGUUGUUAAACACGCAAGAAGAGGGCACCAUGUUAAACUAGGCAUUUUUCUAUCCAAUUUACAUAUAAAGUUUAUUAAGUUUGGAGCUACGAUUAAUUAGUUAUGAAUUAAAUAAUUUUAGCAAGUUAUUUAAGCAAAUUUAAACAAACAACAUUUUAAACAUGUUAAACAUGGAGGAAAGUAGCAUAUUAUUAACGUACACAAAAUUCUAAGUAUUUUAUACAUAUAUAAAACAUUUUAAACCGAUGCACGGUUGUGGAGUUAUUAUAUGCAUGAACAUGAGGGACAUUUUUGUAAAAAGGCAGUCUCAGGAUAAAUAGCAAAAUUUGCAGGGCUCGGAAAAAAUAUGAAUGGGCCGAAUUGCGGCAUACCGCAGCAGCCCAGGAGAAUUUGGCCCAAGUGGUUGAGUGACUCCGUGUGCAAAAAUUAAAGAAAGGGGCGCCUGGGACUCGAACCACGGACGUCCUGAUAUGUCCUCAAGGGAACAGCCACUAGGCUAUGUGAUCUGUUUGUGGAAAAAUAUAGUGGCCAAACUAAAUAACCUCUACAAGCUGGGACGGAUCUAGUAAAAAAACGAAAGUUUCAGGUAUGAGAGGAAGUUGCUCACAACGAGGAAAUAAAGAGGCCUGCAGCCAUGGCGACAGGACCUGGCGGGGAAGGUGCGAGGCUGGACUGGGCCAGAGCUCGAUGUGGAUGCCGAGGGGAACCGGAUCCGAUGGGCGGCGCCUUGAUCCGAAGAAGAGGACGGUCGUGGCGUCCCUAGUCGAAGGACAGAGAGAGCAGAGAGAGACGUGAGCUUCAGAAAACAGAGGACCGGAGGCAGGAGAGGGAGGGUCGGCCGGAGAUGGUGGCCCGACCUGGACUCAAAGCGGCGAAGCAUCUGCAAGGAAGGGCAGUGGCCAUCUGCUCGACGUGGUCCCGUGGGUGCUCAGGCCUUAGGGCUUCGGGGUGCCAUGUCGCCGGGUUCCUGUAAGAGACAGAGGGAGCGAUGAGUGACAGAGAGAGAAAGAAGAGAGAGGGAGAGGAAGAAGGACAUGGAAAGGAAGGAAGGGCAGUGCGGGGCUCAUCUGCUGGGGGUGCUCGACGGCGGAGGGAGCUCCGGUGCUGCGGCGGCC